GCUCGAGUGGCGAACGGGUGAGUAACACGUGAGUAACCUGCCCUUGACUUUGGGAUAACUUCAGGAAACUGGGGCUAAUACCGGAUAGGAGCUCCUGCCGCAUGGUGGGGGUUGGGAAAGGUUUCGGCGGUUGGGGAUGGACUCGCGGCUUAUCAGCUUGUUGGUGGGGUGAUGGCCUACCAAGGCGACGACGGGUAGCCGGCCUGAGAGGGUGAUCGGCCACAUUGGGACUGAGAUACGGCCCAG
rnacentral:rRNA from 1 species